rnacentral:rRNA from 1 species
UAGCCGUAAACGAUACUCGCUAGGUGUCGGCCACGGUGCGACCGUUGUCGGUGCCGUAGGGAAGCCGUGAAGCGAGCCACCUGGGAAGUACGGCCGCAAGGCUGAAACUUAAAGGAAUUGGCGGGGAGCACCACAAGAGGUGGAGGCUGCGGUUCAAUUGGACUCAACGCCGGAAACUCAUCGGGAGCGACAGCAGUAUGAUUGCCAGGUUGAUGACCUUGCUUGACAAGCUGAGAGGUGGUGCAUGGCGUAGUCGUGU